rnacentral:rRNA from 1 species
CCUACGGGGGGCAGCAGUGGGGAAUAUUGGACAAUGGGGGGAACCCUGAUCCAGCCAUGCCGCGUGUGUGAAGAAGGCCCUCGGGUUGUAAAGCACUUUCAGUGAGGAAGAACGCCUGGUGGUUAAUACCCAUCAGGAAAGACAUCACUCACAGAAGAAGCACCGGCUAACUCCGUGCCAGCAGCCGCGGUAAUACGGAGGGUGCGAGCGUUAAUCGGAAUUACUGGGCGUAAAGCGCGCGUAGGUGGCUUGAUAAGCCGGUUGUGAAAGCCCCGGGCUCAACCUGGGAACGGCAUCCGGAACUGCCAAGCUAGAGUGCAGGAGAGGAAGGUAGAAUUCCCGGUGUAGCGGUGAAAUGCGUAGAGAUCGGGAGGAAUACCAGUGGCGAAGGCGGCCUUCUGGACUGACACUGACACUGAGGUGCGAAAGCGUGGGUAGCAAACAGGAUUAGCUACCCGGGUAGUC